rnacentral:rRNA from 1 species
CCCUUAGAUGUUCUGGGCCGCACGCGCGCUACACUGAAUGGAUCAACGUGUUUUCCCUUCCCGAGAGGGACGGGUAACCCGCUGAACCCCAUUCGUGGUAGGGAUCGGAGCUUGCAAUUGUUCUCCGUGAACCAGGAAUUCCCAGUAAGCGCAAGUCAUAAGCUUGCGCUGAUUACGUCCCUGCCCUUUGUACACACCGCCCGUCGCUGCCCGGAACUGAGCCAUUUCGAGAAAAAUGGGGACAGACUGCUUGUGGGUGCGCAAGCACUUCUUGCAGAUUGAAACCAUCUUGAUCGGUAUGGCUUGAACCGGGCAAAANUCGUANCA